GAUCCUGGCUCAGGAUGAACGCUGGCGGCGUGCCUAACACAUGCAAGUCGAGCGAUUUACUUCGGUAAAGAGCGGCGGACGGGUGAGUAACGCGUGGGUAACCUGCCCUGUACACACGGAUAACAUACCGAAAGGUAUGCUAAUACGAGAUAAAAUACUUUUAUCGCAUGGUAGAAGUAUCAAAGCUUUUGCGGUACAGGAUGGACCCGCGUCUGAUUAGCUAGUUGGUAAGGUAACGGCUUACCAAGGCGACGAUCAGUAGCCGACCUGAGAGGGUGAUCGGCCACAUUGGAACUGAGACACGGUCCAAACUCCUACGGGAGGCAGCAGUGGGGAAUAUUGCACAAUGGGCGAAAGCCUGAUGCAGCAACGCCGCGUGAGCGAUGAAGGCCUUCGGGUCGUAAAGCUCUGUCCUCAAGGAAGAUAAUGACGGUACUUGAGGAGGAAGCCCCGGCUAACUACGUGCCAGCAGCCGCGGUAAUACGUAGGGGGCUAGCGUUAUCCGGAAUUACUGGGCGUAAAGGGUGCGUAGGUGGUUUCUUAAGUCAGAGGUGAAAGGCUACGGCUCAACCGUAGUAAGCCUUUGAAACUGGGAAACUUGAGUGCAGGAGAGGAGAGUGGAAUUCCUAGUGUAGCGGUGAAAUGCGUAGAUAUUAGGAGGAACACCAGUUGCGAAGGCGGCUCUCUGGACUGUAACUGACACUGAGGCACGAAAGCGUGGGGAGCAAGCAGGAUUAGAUACCCUGGUAGUCCACGCCGUAAACGAUGAGUACUAGCUGUCGGAGGUUACCCCCUUCGGUGGCGCAGCUAACGCAUUAAGUACUCCGCCUGGGAAGUACGCUCGCAAGAGUGAAACUCAAAGGAAUUGACGGGGACCCGCACAAGUAGCGGAGCAUGUGGUUUAAUUCGAAGCAACGCGAAGAACCUUACCUAAGCUUGACAUCCUUUUGACCGAUGCCUAAUCGCAUCUUUCCCUUCGGGGACAGAAGUGACAGGUGGUGCAUGGUUGUCGUCAGCUCGUGUCGUGAGAUGUUGGGUUAAGUCCCGCAACGAGCGCAACCCUUGCCUUUAGUUGCCAGCAUUAAGUUGGGCACUCUAGAGGGACUGCCAGGGAUAACCUGGAGGAAGGUGGGGAUGACGUCAAAUCAUCAUGCCCCUUAUGCUUAGGGCUACACACGUGCUACAAUGGGUGGUACAGAGGGCAGCCAAGUCGUGAGGCGGAGCUAAUCCCUUAAAGCCAUUCUCAGUUCGGAUUGUAGGCUGAAACUCGCCUACAUGAAGCUGGAGUUACUAGUAAUCGCAGAUCAGAAUGCUGCGGUGAAUGCGUUCCCGGGUCUUGUACACACCGCCCGUCACACCACGGAAGUUGGGGGCGCCCGAAGCCACUUAGCUAACCCAUUUGGGAAGCGAGUGUCGAAGGUGAAAUCAAUAACUGGGGUGAAGUCGUAACAAGGUACCC
rnacentral:rRNA from 1 species